rnacentral:lncRNA from 1 species
CCUCUCUCACACUCAUUCAUGGAAAGACCCAGAGGUCUGCAGAUGUGGGCUUCUCCUGGCAGAUCUCAGUUUGGAAUCUCAUUUACCAUCCUAAGGACUGGAUUUCUCGCGCGCUGAGGAACUGUGGCGAUUCCCACCUAGCGGCACCUUCUGAGCCCAGAGCUCGCCAGCCAGCCUGUCUGCGGCAGAGAGUGGAAGGCUGGAAAAACAGCAAGCUCCCAGGCCCCUUGUUUGAGGGACGAUUCCACCUUGGUGCAAAGGCAGAAAUAACUUAUGGGAGACUCUGCCUCAGCUUGUCCUUUCCAAACUCCAGCUCCUGCCGUGAUGCUGCAGGGCUCCCCCAGGGCCCAGAGCAGAGCUGGGCCUUGGAGCAGCACGAAGAGAGACUGCUGUGAAGUCCUGGCCCUGGCUCUAUUGAUAUGCUAGAAUCUGCUGAAGACUAAGUAAUGCUGGAUCUCAGCUGUCCCUAGAGGUCAGGCCUCACUUCAGGAAGGGGUGACUCCCUUCAAAG